rnacentral:rRNA from 1 species
GAUGAACGCUGGCGGCGUGCCUAAUACAUGCAAGUCGAGCGAACGGACGAGAAGCUUGCUUCUCUGAUGUUAGCGGCGGACGGGUGAGUAACACGUGGAUAACCUACCUAUAAGACUGGGAUAACUUCGGGAAACCGGAGCUAAUACCGGAUAAUAUUUUGAACCGCAUGGUUCAAAAGUGAAAGACGGUCUUGCUGUCACUAUAGAUGGAUCCGCGCUGCAUUAGCUAGUUGGUAAGGUAACGGCUUACCAAGGCAACGAUGCAUAGCAGACCUGAGAGGGUGAUCGGCCACACUGGAACUGAGACACGGUCCAGACUCCUACGGGAGGCAGCAGUAGGGAAUCUUCCGCAAUGGGCGAAAGCCUGACGGAGCAACGCCGCGUGAGCGAUGAAGGUCUUCGGAUCGUAAAACUCUGUUAUUAGGGAAGAACAUAUGUGUAAGUAACUGUGCACAUCUUGACGGUACCUAAUCAGAAAGCCACGGCUAACUACGUG